rnacentral:rRNA from 1 species
AGAGUUUGAUCCUGGCUCAGGACGAACGCUGGCGGCGUGCUUAACACAUGCAAGUCGAACGGAUCAUGGUGAUGCUUUUGUGUUGUUGUGGUUAGUGGCGAACGGGUGAGUAACACGUGGGUAACCUGUCCUUCUCUUUGGGAUAAGCACUUGAAAGGGUGUCUAAUACUGAUUAUUCUGCGCAUGUCGCAUGGUGUGUGUGGGAAAGAUCGCAUGGUGGCUGUUUUGGUUGUUGUGUGUUUGGAGGGGGUUGGGCUCGCGGCUUAUCAGCUUGUUGGUGGGGUGAUGGCUUACCAAGGCUUUGACGGGUAGCCGGCCUGAGAGGGUGGUCGGUCACAUUGGGACUGAGAUACGGCCCAGACUCCUACGGGAGGCAGCAGUGGGGAAUAAUGCACAAUGGACGGAAGUCUGAUGCAGCGACGCCGCGUGAGGGAUGAAGGCCUUCGGGUUGUAAACCUUUUUCGCUUUUGACCAAGGCAUCAUGUUUGGUGGUGUUGAGGGUAUGAGGUAAAGAAGCUCCGGCUAACUACGUGCCAGCAGCCCGCGGUAAUACGUAGGGAGCGAGCGUUGUCCGGUUUUAUUGGGCGUAAAGGGCUUGUAGGUGGCUUGUCGCGUCUGCCGUGAAAUUCCGCAGCUUAACUGUGGUAGUGCGGUGGGUACGGGCUGGCUUGAGUGUGGUAGGGGAGACUGGAAUUCCUGGUGUANCGGUGGAAUGCGCANAUAUCANGAGGAACACCGGUGGCGAAGGCGGUCUCUGGGCCAUUACUGACNCUGAGGAGCGAAAGCGUGGGGAGCNAACCAGGAUUANAUACCCUGGUAGUCCNCNCUGUAANCGUUGGGCANUAGGUGGGGGNCCUGUCAUGGGUUUUGCGCCGACCGCUAACGCAUUAAGUGCCCCGCNUGGGGAGUACGGUCGCAAGGCUAAAACUCAAAGGAAUUGACGGGGGCCCGCACAAGCGGCGGAGCAUGCGGAUUAAUUCGAGGCAACGCGAAGAACCUUACCAAGGCUUGACAUACGCCAGAAGCUCUCAGAGAUGGGGGUCUUUUGUUCCUGGUGUACAGGUGGUGCAUGGUUGUCGUCAGCUCGUGUCGUGAGAUGUUGGGUUAAGUCCCGCAACGAGCGCAACCCUUGUCCUAUGUUGCCAGCACGCUACUGGUCGAAUGUUUGUUCGAUUGGUUGUGGUGGGGACUCAUGGGAGACUGCCGGGGUUAACUCGGAGGAAGGUGGGGAUGACGUCAAAUCAUCAUGCCCCUUAUGUCUUGGGCUUCACGCAUGCUACAAUGGCUGGUACAGAGGGUUGCGAUACUGUGAGGUGGAGCGAAUCCCUUAAAGCUGGUCUCAGUUCGGAUCGGAGUCUGCAACUCGACUUCGUGAAGGUGGAGUCGCUAGUAAUCGCAGAUCAGCAUCGCUGCGGUGAAUACGUUCUCGGGCCUUGUACACACCGCCCGUCACGUCAUGAAAGUUGGUAACACCCGAAGCGCAUGGCUUAACCGCACCUGUUGGUGUGGGGGGAGUGUGCGAAGGUGGGAUUGGCGAUUGGGACGAAGUCGUAACAAGGUAACC